GCCCGGUUGGUGUAGCGGUAACACGAGCGAGAAAAGUGGCAGUAGGUCGCGUGAAGCAUUAAGUCCACCAAGAUAUAGCUAGUCCUCGGUUCGAAUCCGGGGCCGGGCA